rnacentral:lncRNA from 1 species
CCUUGGCCCACUGCCCUACGCGCGGUGAGCAGAGCAGCCAAGCCAGAGUGGCAGCCGCAGUGUGGGAGCCCAGCUCUGCUGCCAUAAAUUACCCAGGGGCAGGAAGGAGCAGUGAGAGUCAGCGGUUUCAGCUACCUAGUAGUUCAUUUUUGUUCUUGUUUUUCAGUUAGCAAUCUGUAAAAUUUAUUGCAAAAUUAAGCUCCCUGCUCCAGAGUCAAUAAUAUUCCUGGUGCCAGGUGGUGUAAUAAUUCACCGAAAGGGCAGAAGUUGGAGGGAAUAAGACUGAUUUAGGAAGUAGACUUCCAAGCCCUAUUGCUGCUGCCUAUUCCCUGCUGCUAAAGGUCAGAGUGGCCACCAGCUGAUGAUGAGAUUCACUGAUCCUCACAUCCUCUCCAAUUCUUGAGAUUAUCAUGGCUUAACUGAGAGAUAUUACAUGAUUAACAAACUCAUACUACCCUGGAACCAGCAUCAGUGCUACGGUGGAACCAAGAAUUCACUUCUGCCUCCAUUGUCACUGCCACCAGCAUCUGUCUACUCCCAAGAAACUAAAGGACAGGCACUGGACUGCUACUGCAGAAACACCCACAAUUCCACAGGCUUGCUUGCGUAAGUGGCUGAAAAUCACCUCAACUCUUUUCUACCUUCUAAUGUUAGGUUUUAAUGUCCACCAACAGUGGAGUUGGCUUCCCGGCUGUGAAUAGAUUCAUGGAAGAUGAACAAAAACAAAUGAACAAAUCAAUGACAACAACAGCAACAUCUGUGCAUACUAUAGAAGCAGAUGUGUAAUUAUUUUGUACAUUGGCUUAAUACUGAGAAAGAGACUGAAUAAUUAUUGCACUUCUGGCAAGUCUAUAUAUACUGUCUCCUGACGAAGGACCCUCCAGCAACUUCGGGCUGAAAUGAAGCAGAUUCACUCAAUCCGCACAAACUCUCAGAAAAGUGCAUCUGGAAAAAAAAAAAAAAAGUGACAGGGACUGAGUCCCAGAGAUAUUCCCCAGGAACUCUCCCCAAUCUGUGGUGCAAUAUGUGGUCUGACACAGCUGGACACCAGGCAGCACUUGGCCACCAGCCCUUCUGGCUGGACUCCUCCCCAAGGUAGGGUUUACCCUCACAUAAAAUUGCCAACCAGGGCCCACUUGGGUAUAGAACUAAUUUAGCCUCCUGUACACUUGAUGAAUGAAGAAUUUCCUCUGGGGACUAAAUUAUAGGGCUUGUUGGAGUUGCUCUUUCGUGAUCUGUUAUUUGGAGGUAAUUUUCCAAAAGGGCUGGAACACAUGGCCAUGAGCUAGAAUAGGAUUCACCAUGAACAGCUGCCACGCGCUGGCCGGCACAUCCCAGUGCCCUUGUCCUCUCCCCCAGCCUCCCCUGCCACUACCCCUGCUUCCCGAGAGAGGAGGUCCAGACAACAGGGCUGGACUUAACGUUAGAUCUUUACUUUCCUUCUUAAUUAAACCACUAGAAUGGAAUCUGCCCACCUUUUUCUGCACCCAGGUUUCCAGAAAUGUAACAUCUUGUCGUAACACGUUUCAAAACAGAUGACAGGCCUUCCCCUCAUCCUCCAAUGUGGCUGAUUACAAGCUUCUGUCAAAUUCCACCAACCCCCACCAACCCACCCCAGUUGGCUGGAAGAUAAGCUUCUGAUCUUCCCUUGGCUUUUUGAACUGUUGGAAGCUGUGUAAACACAAGCUGCAGGUUAGUCAGAUUCUAUUUGACCCACGGCCUGCUGAGUGCAAAGAGAUUACAUUUGAACACUCCCUUGUCUAAUUAAGCAAUGGUGACCUAUUGCGGGGUGCUUGCUGAUGAGGUCAAAUAGCAAGGGUUUUUAGGCUGACCUGUUGCAGCUGGUCAUUUGCUGAUAAAUAAGAAACAGCUAGUUUUUAGUGAGCCAACUUCCCGACAGAGCCUUCCUUUCAUAAAGCACUCUAAUUUGGUUAUUUCUCUGAAUUUCUUAAGUGAGUUUCAGUACUUUAGAAAAAUUUUUAGUACUGAGAGUAACAGACAUUUGUCCUAUGAUGGAAACCCUUCUUCGCACAGCAGUGCCCCUUCAAAGGAUCUACAAACUGUUAUGCUGUGCCUCUAGAUCUUUUUAGACCACCAACUUCUUCAAAAUUGUGAAAGAUGAAGGUCAUUUUGAAUGUUGACAUUUGGAUGGGAUAUGAUGGUGAUAGUGGGACAGGAAGCCCCAAGAAAUAGAUCUCAAGACCUUGACCUAGCUACAUAAUCAGAAUCAUUUAUUGAGCAUCUGCUCUGUAGUAGACGCUGUUGUAGGAUCUUUUAAUCUUUAUCUCCACUCCUUACCAUGAUCGUCACAGCAAGUGCCAUUAUCCUUGUUUCAUUGCUAAGAUUCCUGAAGCAUAAAGAGGUCAG